UAAGUUGCCCUGGCUAUAUUCGUGUCAUCAGUUUCAUGAAACAAGCAAAGCCCGCAGCUUCCGCAGCAUUGCCUUGAACCUGCACUAGCUCUGUAGCAGAAUGUCUGAGGCUUAGUUUAGAUAACUUUUCGUGGAUUUUGCAAAUUAAUUGGAGAUGCGUGCCUUAGUGAGCAGAAGGUGAUGUCUAGUGGUAAUACCCAGUGUUUUGGAAAUGGAGCGUGUUAUGUGAACUGCGUCUUGCGUUAAUUGCUACCAAAGAGUUGCCGAAUAAGGUGCACACGUUUGCGACUGAACUCGUGCAUCAACGUCAAAUCAUAACAGGGAAAAGAUGGCUCCAAAGACUUCGAAGGGAUCUCGAAAAAAGAAUUCUGUGGUGCAAUCCAAAGGCAAGGCUUUGCGACCAAAACAGAACAAGAAACCUGGCAGGGCAAAGCAGGCUUCUUCUCCAACAGGACCAGUGGCAGCUGGCAGAGCAGGGAAAGGCUCGGCUAGUAAAAAGAAAGCGAAAAAACGAAAGAAAGGAAAGAGGAAGAAAAGGAAAAAGAAGCGUCGAGCAAAACCAGACGUCUUCAGUGCAGUGGCCAUGGAGAACGCGUACUACAUUAGUCACAAUGCCGGUGACUUCCUAAGCUUUCGAGGCUUCAAGUGGACAGGCGGGAAGAAGAAGAGAGGCAAGAGCAAAAAGAAGAAGCGCGCAUGGUGAACGGGCUAACUGGCUUCAAAAAGCGACGGAAUAUGACGCGCCUGCAGGCCUACCGCGAAGGAGGCCAGGCCGGCAGGCGUGCUGGCCUCUGGCUCGCUCAUCCUCUGCGGCAACGAUGGCCGCAGCGCCACCACCGACGGAGUACGUCUGCAUGAGGAGCGAACGAAUCUGUGGUGACUGCGGAACCUCGCAGCCAACGAAACGAUCUCGAACGUACCGCACAGAUCUCGUGCGCACAGAUCUCGAAUGUGCCGCACGAAUUUCGAACGUGUCGCAUAGAGGGCAUCCGGGUCCGUAAGGAGGGCGGUGACAGCGGAGCGGGGCUGCGCAAUGUCAGCGAUGAUUGAUGGAUGGGGAAAAGCAGAGAUAUAAACGUGCAUCGUUAUCUGGGAAGAGAAGACAUUGGGGCGAUGCAAAACAGAACGCGGGGGAACUAAAGCUUGACACGAUCCAGUGGGCAUAGCAUAAUGAUCAGAUUGAGAGAUUGGCGCUGAGUUACUGUCCACGGUACCAUCACAAGCCUGGAAUGAGUUUGUUGCCGCACCGGUCACCGUUUUUCGGUGCGGAUGUAUGUCGACAACAGCGAAUGCGCGCACCAAGACUGUUAUGCAGGGAUAUUGAUCUCCUUCGCGACCGGUCAUGUUAUGGUUUUACCGGUCAGCAUGACUUCUAUACAGCGCUGUCUUCUUUCAGCAUUUCCUGAUGGUACGAAGCUAUUAAAGACCGAUAACGCUGAAGAUCUAGCACCAUCAGCACCACGAGGGCGCGCCAAGCGAUCGCUAACGUGGCCAGUUCGAAUCAGCCCAGCGGAAUUUUGCAAUGCGAUCGUAAUGGCUUCUUGUGGGGUGGAACUUUCCAGAUUCAUUGCCUUUAUGCUGCAUAGAGAACAUCUGUGGCUCCGCCUGUUCAGACCUGAACCGCCGUGUCCUGUGUGUGUCUUGCUUGCUGGCUUCGGACCUCUCGCUCUAGGGGCUGCUAAUGGCUCCACAAUUGCACGCGAAUUGCGCGAAUAAUGCAGCACAUUACCACCCGCGGCGAGUUAUUUCAGCUCUUUUAAUGUAAGAGUCGAGAUGUCGAGCGAUGUGGCUCAAUGACUGCUGUGUGGGCGUCAUGGUGAUGCAUGACGCCAUCCGUCUGGAACAACCAGGCCUACAGCCAGACCUACGACGGGGACAGGCAUCAAGAGACGUGUUGAAAGCCUAGUACUGUGUAUUCGUGAUUAUUAUAGGAAAUACAUCAUGCAUAGCUCACAGUCGUAUUUGAAUUGAUGAAUCACUCCGUCAGUUAGUUUCGGGUCAUCAUCAGCUCUUCAGACACUCGUAUUCCUUUCACCCCUUCCAGCAUGGUACACUAUGCACCUUGCGGCACACGGCAUGUGAUGCCGAACACCGCAAACUACAAAUGAUUCAGACUUCCUUGAAUCGUCCAAAGGGAUUGGCUCAAUCCUCGGAGGCGCCGGCGGAACUGCCCACUUACCCAGCAACGCAGCGUGUCAGACGAAAUGAAAUCGAUGCAAAUGUAAUUACCACCACUGGUUCAACUCUUCAAAUUG
rnacentral:lncRNA from 1 species